GACGAACGCUGGCGGCGUGCCUAACACAUGCAAGUCGAGCGGAGAAAUUAAAGCUUGCUUUAAUUUCUUAGCGGCGGACGGGUGAGUAACACGUGGGCAACCUGCCCUUGAGAGGGGGAUAACACAGAGAAAUUUGUGCUAAUACCGCAUAACAUUUAGACUUCGCCUGGAGUUUAAAUCAAAGGAGUAAUCCGCUCAAGGAUGGGCCCGCGGCGCAUUAGCUAGUUGGUGAGGUAAUGGCUCACCAAGGCGACGAGGCGUAGCCGACCUGAGAGGGUGAGCAGCCACAAUGGAACUGAGACGCGGUCCAGAAUCCUACGGGAGGGAGCAGUGGGGAAUAUUGCGCAAUGGGGGAAACCCUGACGAAGCAACGCCGCGUGAGCGAUGAAGGCCUUCGGGUUGUAAAGCUCUGUCUUUGGGGACGAUAAUGACGGUACCCAAGGAGGAAGCCACGGCUAACUACGUGCCAGCCGCCGCCGUAAUAC
rnacentral:rRNA from 1 species